rnacentral:sRNA from 1 species
UUGACAGUGCUGGCAACUGAAGCCCUCUGUUUAUCACAGAACAGAUACAGCAAAGGCAUCUGCAAAGCAAGCUUCCCCAACACCAAGUGCUGCCAGCAUGCCUCAGACCCAGAAAUGCCCAAAUCAAGAGACUAUUAGUGAAACUUGUCAACUUUCCAUAGCC